UUGUUGCAGGAACUGACUCUGAUAAGAAUAAGCUCAAACGGGACACUGCUAGCAAAGGAAGAUCCAACUCUUUGAUCCGAUGAAACUGUAUUUCUUUGAACAAUAUUAGGGGGGUGCACCGUUCCUAGAGGUACUGCAAUACCAGGUCGAUGCGUGGAGUGGACGGAGCAAACCCCUAUUCCAUCUCCCUGUUCCAAAAAUCAAUGUAAUAAAUGGUUCCCGGACAGGGAGUGGAAUCGCAACGGCACCUUGCGGUUGAAGGCUCUGUUCCGAGACGGACGUCGCAUACUUUGAAAUCUUCCAAACUUUGCGUUGUCUUCAGUCCAGCCAGAGUCCGUCGAAGAACAGAAAGUUACCAAACCACAGAAGAAGAUGAAAAUAUGUCGGUUUCAGCGAUGGCUUUAUGGGAUCGCUAGCAACUUGUAAACAAUUACCCAUUCCUAUAAGGAAUUGUCAAGGAGGUGGACAGCUGGGCAAGUAAAAUAGCCUUUGGUUUAUCAUUCACAUUCUAUUAUAUCUGAAAUUAUUAUGAUUUCAAUUAAUGUCAUAUCAGAGAGCACACAAUGUUUUAAUUUGUCACUUUUUGCUUAAAGGUCAGUACCCUGUCUAGCCUGCCAGAAGUUUGAGAGGGCGAAGACUGGCGCUGGAGUUGAAGCCCAUCAAAGUUGUUUCACCAUGGCACAUGAUCGGGGUGGACCUCAUCGGACCACUUUAAAUGUUAGGGGUGGACCUCAUCGGACCCUUCACAAAAUCCAGGAAUGGGAUUCACUUUACCAAUUGGGUGGAGGCAAUACCCAUUA